rnacentral:rRNA from 1 species
AACGAACGCUGGCGGCAGGCUUAACACAUGCAAGUCGAACGCCCCGCAAGGGGAGUGGCAGACGGGUGAGUAACGCGUGGGAACGUGCCCUUCGCUUCGGAAUAGCCCCGGGAAACUGGGAGUAAUACCGGAUACGCCGUAUUGGGAAAGAUUUAUCGGCGAAGGAUCGGCCCGCGUUGGAUUAGCUAGUUGGAGGUGUCAUGGACCCCCAAGGCUACGAUCCAUAGCUGGUCUGAGAGGAUGAUCAGCCACACUGGGACUGAGACACGGCCCAGACUCCUACGGGAGGCAGCAGGGGGGAAUCUUGGACAAUGGGCGCAAGCCUGAUCCAGCCAUGCCGCGUGAGUGAAGAAGGCCUUAGGGUUGUAAAACUCUUUCGCCGGAGAAGAUAAUGACGGUAUCCGGAGAAGAAGCCCCGGCUAACUUCGUGCCAGCCGCCGCGGUAAAAC